GCGCCGAGAGCGGGGUGGGGUCGGUGGUUUGCUCCUUGGGAUCGGAGGAAAGAGGAAGGGGAGCUGGGGGUGCUCGGCGACGUGGGGAGGGAGAGGGAAGGCACGCACGCGAGCCGGUUCCUGCGGCGGCAGCGGGAGCCGAGGAGGAGGGGGUGGAGCGGAAAAAGAGGAGGAACGGAAGGGUAGCGAGCGCGCGUACAGCGGCGACAGCUUCUUGUCCUGUCACGCCCAGCGAAGGAGGAAAAGGAGGGUAGCCUAGAUUCCGUACGCCGGCACCUCCGCUCGGAGAGGCCACCGCCGCCGUUUCCCACUGGUGUACCUAGCCAGGGACGUCCUAUCUCUUCUACCCUCUCUCCCUCUCUUCCUUCCUCUCCUCCCUCCGGGCUACCGCCUGCCCUCUCCCAGUGGCUGGCCGCGGCCGCUCCAGUCCAAGCUGGACCACCAACCACCGCCGAGCUAGGUGAGGACCUAGGAAGAAGAAGGUGAAGGGGUGACGGAUUGUGGUUCCUUCUCCCGACCGGCUCCUUCUCCCGCUCCUGCGCCCCUAACUUCUCCCACAAGUACGUAAGUAGCGGACCGGUUCCUGCUCCUACUGCUGCACCCCACCUCGUACAGUAGGGAGACCAAUAGUGUAAGGAAAGACGAUGACCCGACUCUACUCCCAAAAGAGGUGGCUAACACCACCGGACUCAGUCUAUAGCUGUUGGUCUACGAACACCGAUGGUGUGUUUUGCACGAGAGAACGACUGGAGCUCCAGGUCUGCGUUACCUAACAGAGGUUCCACAAAGAGGCUGGUCGUUGUUGUUUUGAGGUGUGAAAGAGUUAACGCGACACUAACCAAGUACAGGUGGUUCCAGCAACGCAACCAGCGCCAUGAGCCGAAGGAAACCCAAACGAACGACAGCUCCUUCUUCUUUCCACACUUGAUACACUUUUACCUGUUUGGGUGACAGGGUCUACCAUUACUUUUUUGACUGUGGUUGAUCGAGUGAGAUAUCUAAAACAGAUCCGAGUUCGAUUGAUGCAUAGACGUGGUGCUAACGAGCGACCCCUAUAUCUACAUACGGAUUGUAGUCCAAUAAUGGUGUGGUAUCAUCGACGAGCAACCCUUAUAUCUAUAUAUAAAGUAAAACGUCCAAACUUUGUUCGACCAAGGAAAUAUACUUUAACAAAUAAGUACUAAACAAUUACAUCUUUAGUAAAGUAAUUAAUCAAAGCAUACCAGGCACACUAAGUACGACGUUACGAAAAGAAGUCAGCCAAUUAGCACAUCAUUAAUCUGCCACAUCAUGAUACCGCCACCAUAUGACUAUAGCACAUCAUUAACUACGAGACAAGUACCGAAAAAAGAAUAAAAUAGGAAGAAACGAAAAAAGGAAGGGACGUUCUUCUACAGCUCAGUACAUUAUACAAGUUUCUUCUCUCUUAGACGUAAAAUACUUAGGAAAGAAGAAAGAAGUAACAAUGAAGUUCAAUCACUUAAGUAAAUUCAACAUAACUCGUCGAAGUACACGUACCAAAGAAGUAGAUGUGUAGAAUAAGUCAGUGCUCCGGAGAUUCUAGAAAACGGAAAAUCUUUUUCCCUCUACGGUAAAUCUGGAAUGAGAAGGUUGAACUAGAAAUUGAACGAUCGUAAAAGGGUUCGUAAAAAAUAAACGAAGUCUCUUACUUGAGUGGAAUAAGUCACCUACACGGUUCAUUUUUUUAAUCUUUGACUUGUUAAUCAAGGUGAGAAUUUAAAACAUGUUGCCAGGUUUAAUAGGUUAUUUAGUCAACAAUCGUCCCAGAUUAAUAUCUUCAACUUAGUCAACAAGGGAGGAGAAGAGAAGCUUGGGUCGGGAGAGAACUCACACAGCACGGGAGAUGAUGCCAUUUCGUGGUCCAGGUGCACUCGAGGAGGAAGUUGGGCGCAUACAUUAAAGAAGGAAAAGGUACUUACGUGUGUAGAUUUCGUAAAAAAACCCAAGGGAGUAGAUUUAAAGAAGACUUCACACGUCUAACAAUAAGUAAUAGUCCCUCCUGUUAUAAGAAAAGUUCCUGAGUAAUCAGGGUCUUAUAAAUCGACCGUUCUAUGUAUAAAAUACUAAGUAGGUAGAGAGGUUAAGACUGGAAUGUAUAGUUGGACAGAAGUACAUGGGAAGAUAUAUACCACGACGAUGAAAAAAAAGGAAUGUACCUAUAUACAUACUCUAAAGAAACAAAUCCAUAUAAACACGGACUUUCUUCAAAUGUAGAUAAAAGAACAAUCUACUCGGACUUACUCUUAUGAAUACUCUAGCGUACUUACUCUACAACUGCGGGACAUACGAGGUACAUAGUAAGAAGGGUGUAUUACCUACGCUAGAGAAGACGGCGAUGCAGAGGCAAGCUGAGCGGUUCCAAACAACAAGAGGAAAAAUGUACACACACGCGAAAUGAAAGUGAUAGACGAUAUAGUACGAUAUACGGAAGUACUAGCAAAUUUAUAAUAAUACCACAGACGGUACGACUAGCAAAUUUAUAAAGCCUAUGCCGUCCCGUAACACACAACAAGCAAGAGAACGAUGAAUGUCAAGUACAUACGCACACUCGUCCUAGAUACGUGAACAAAGGCAACAAUAUGAACAAAACCUCUGACUUCAUCGAGCCACACGAAACGGUAGCGAAAGCACAGACACACUCCAACAUCUGCUGCCAAGACAAGAACGACCACAUCUUGAGCUCGAGGGUCCCCUGCCAAGACGAGGUCACGGUGUUUCUCUAAAAAAGGCUCGAGCCGACCCACACCAAAAUACUUACCGAUACUCAUCCGACGAGAUGUCCAGAACACAUAAAACGUUCCAAAUAUACCUGAAAAGCAAGUACUGUUAUUGAUACUUACAUACUACCGGAUAUCCUCUAGAAAGACAAGUUCUUGUAACACCAAAGAAACUAAGGAUGAUACGAUAAAUGAAUCAGACGUCCGGUCGUAUAAUAAAUCUAAGAAAGAUUGAUGGAAUGAAGCUUCGAGUCAUGACCAGAGGAAGUUCGAUGUUGGGGUUCCGCUCGAGACCACCAGUUCGACUACGAAGAAGCGGAGUACAACUUCUUUUCCUACUAUUCCUACAGGUACGAGCUCACUGGUCCUUAUUAACCCCUAGGAGUCUAUUGAAGGCUUCGCUCCUCAAUUAGAAGCUGUAUCAGGGCAAAGCGUUACCGAUAGUGCGUGACGAACCUGCUUGACGUAAACGUUUCAAGUUACGCCACGGCGUGAUACGUAUGGAGUUCGAGUUCUACGAUCCGGGAGCUCCUCAGUAAUGCCAGUUUCCUUUGUAGCUUGCGAGAGAGACUUGCCUCCUCGUAUGCCGCCGAGAACACCGCCUUCAUGUUUCGUCGGAGAGUUCCGUUAGGAGUUCAGGCCGAUAAUUUGUAGGCCUGUGGCACUUCGCGCGGGCCUCAUUGGAUGAUGUUCUGGCAGACCGUGCAAGACUCGUGCGUAUCGUUACGCCCGGGUUGGGGUCGGGAGCGCUUUAAUACUUUGGUCAUGAUGCGCAUGUAUUAAUGCGAGACCUUUAUGGUACCCGUAUCCCCCUCCCCGUGCUGGUGCCGUCCGGGUCUUCCGCCGAAUUGGCGUGAUCCCCGAUGGCGAACACAGUAAGAAAAAAGAGAAUGAAAGUCCUGAGGAAAGAGUUCUUCGGGACAGACCGUCAUCUUAGCGGCUUGUGUGCUACGUUGUCGGUCCCUUCGUCUUUCGAUGCAGCUCACAGGUCCACCAGAGAUAUUGCUCGUCAUAUGAACAAAGUGUAUAGUGGGCCGUCGAGAGGGGACCUCCCCCUGUACAGUUUAUCAGGGCAGGUAACGAAUAGCGUGAUAAACAUAGCAAGACGAAAAUGGCGUCGGAAAAAUUUAUUUGUUAUGUAUCGAAGACGAAU
rnacentral:rRNA from 1 species